rnacentral:rRNA from 1 species
CCUACGGGUGGCAGCAGUGAGGAAUAUUGGUCAAUGGGCGGGAGCCUGAACCAGCCAAGCCGCGUGAGGGAAGAAGGUACAGCGUAUCGUAAACCUCUUUUGUCAGGGAACAAAGGCGGGGACUAGUCCCCGGAUGAGGGUACCUGAAGAAAAAGAAUCGGCUAACUCCGUGCCAGCAGCCGCGGUAAUACGGAGGAUGCGAGCGUUAUCCGGAUUUAUUGGGUUUAAAGGGUGCGCAGGCGGUCUGUUAAGUCAGCGGUCAAAGCCCGGGGCUCAACCCCGGCCCGCCGUUGAAACUGGCAGUCUCGAGUUGGAGAGAAGUAUGCGGAAUGCGCGGUGUAGCGGUGAAAUGCAUAGAUAUCGCGCAGAACUCCGAUUGCGAAGGCAGCAUGCCGGCUCCACACUGACGCUGAGGCACGAAAGCGUGGGUAUCGAACAGGAUUAGAUACCCCAGUAGUC